CUGCAGCCAAUUAAGCUAACAGUACUGCCCAUCCUAUGGCGCCCGGUGUGCAAAGGCUGCAAACAGCAGCCUCCUGGGUAGUGUAUGGGGCCUGCUGCUUGUGCAGGCUGCCCUAAAAGACCAUGGAGACAGCC
ensembl:snoRNA SNORA70 Small nucleolar RNA SNORA70